GCGGGAGUGGCGGAAUGGUAGACGCGUUGGUCUCAAACACCAAUAACUUCACGGUUGUGCGGGUUCGAGUCCCGCCUCCCGCA
rnacentral:tRNA from 1 species